AGAAUCAACGCUGGCGGCGUGCCUAACACAUGCAAGUCGAACGCGAAAGCCCCGCAAGGGGCAAGUAGAGUGGCAAACGGGUGAGUAACACGUGGGUGACCUGCCUUCGAGUGGGGGAUAACGUCCCGAAAGGGACGCUAAUACCGCAUGACAUCCUGCCUUUGGAAAGGUGGAGAUCAAAGCCGGGGAUCGCAAGACCUGGCGCUUGAAGAGGGGCCCGCGCCUGAUUAGCUAGUUGGUAGGUAACGGCCUACCAAGGCGACGAUCAGUAUCCGGCCUGAGAGGGCGGACGGACACACUGGGACUGAGACACGGCCCAGACUCCUACGGGA
rnacentral:rRNA from 1 species